rnacentral:lncRNA from 1 species
UACUAUUGCACAUAAUAUUAGGCAAGUGUACACGGACAUAUACUAUUGCACGUGGAGGACUCUGAAACGGAUUGCUAUUAGUCAAGGAUACGGUCGUAUACUAUUGCAAACAAAAUAAUUUACAGCGGACAGUCGUCCGUACAGAAUUCAAACUCAGCAACCUUUGACUAAUAUAAAGGUUGGGGCAAACACCCCAGAACACCCACGGAAUAAUAGACGCCAUAACACCCAUUGAAGGGAGAUCCACACAAUAACAUAUCCACACAAAUCGAAGGGGCGACAUACGUCGGGACGCCCAGCACAUCGAAGGACGGAAGAAGAAACGACAGAAACAUCAAGUUUGGGUAAUAUAUAUAGCUUAAAUCUUGAGGUCUAUUUACAUCUUUCCAUCCCUGCAUGUCUUUGCAACCUCCUUAUGAACGUCAUGUUUUCCUGUUCAUUAACCAUUAGUUAGAACACUUCUUUCUAACCAAAUUUCAUUAUUGCAUUACCAUAUGAACCACUCCUAAAAUUGUUUUGAAGGCAACGUUUCUAUGGCGUAGACGAAGUUGAGUGAGUUAACCACAAGAGGACAGACAUGGAAUAUUAAAGCCAAAGUAAUGAGAAUGUGGGACUCGAUCAAUCCUUCGACUGAUGAACUUAUAAGCAUCGAUAUGAUCUUGAUGGAUGAGCAGGUAUUUUCUUCACAUCAUUAAUAGUGGGGAUUGUUUUAUUGUUAAAAUUACUACUAAGAUUUUUCUUUCAUUAAAUUUUGAAGGGCCAUACAGUUCAUGCUACUAUUUGGAAGAAUCUAAUAGACACUUACAGAGCAAAGAUCAACGAGGGUUCUAUAUAUGCUUUUAGCAAUUUUAAAGUUGUAGAUUUGACAAAAUAUCGACCAGUCAGCAAUGAAAUUAAAAUUACUUUUUUAUACAACACAAAAUUAAAGGAGAUGAAAGGUUCAUUGGAUAAUUUUCCAGAUUACUACUUUGAGUUUGCUAGCAAAGAUACCCUACAAGAACGUCUAGAAAAAGACCAACAAUGCUCAGGUAUGUUGAUAGUCAUAUUCUUACUUCCAAGUGGACAAUUUAAAUUUGAUGUCAUUUCUUGGUGGUUGUAUAAUAAACUCAAAUGAAUAACUUUCUAAUUUUUGAAGUCUUUAAUCUUCUAAUUUGCAGAUGUCAUUGGGUUACUUACCAAGAUUAAGCCAAUAGAAUCAAGGAUAACAAAGAAGAAAACACCUGCAGAUGUACGUCAAUUUGAAAUUCUAAUGCCAAAGUAAGUGUAUCCAUGUAUCAACUUUUCACUAAAGGAUAAAGGCUGAUUUCUUCCACUUAUAUUAUUAUUACCAUUAAUUACGUUGGAAUGAAUUAUUCAGGGGUGAUAGAAUCAGAGUAUCGUUAUGGGGAAGAUUAGCUCAUCAUUUAAGUGAGGAUGUAAUUGGCAAUCAAACAGUUAUUAUUGUUACCUCAACAAUGGUGCAAAAAUUCAAUGGUAAGUUGAAUAUGUUUACAUGUCUUUUUUUUCAUACCAAAAUAAUAAAUCUAACCGAUUUAUUGUUCAUUAAAUAGGUUUGUGCCUAAAGUCAACUAGCGCCACAAGAUUAUAUACGAAUCUAGAUAUACCCGAGACUUGGGAACUUCGUGGCAGGUAUUAAGCACAAUUUGUAGGUUCUGGUCAUAUAGAAUUUCAUAAUAUAUCUUCAUUUACUAACUUUUUUUAUAGCCACUCCACCGAAGAAACUUUACCAAAAAUGAUGGAGAUAGAUAAAAGUACUCAAGGGACACUGGAAGAUCAAAUGUUUUACAGAAGGAUAACCUUAAAAAAACUUACUGGAAUUAGGCACGACAACCCAACAGAUGAGGUAAUGAAUUCAGAACUCUUCUCAGACAUGAUAUUGUAGAAGCCUCCAAUACCUACAGAUGUAUUUGACAUAUUUGUAUGAGUGACUGCAUAUUCUUUAAAGAGCUAUAUUUUCUUCAUCAACUUUCAGGACUUUGUGUUCACAACAAUAGCUACAAUUGAUCGGUUACAAGAAAAUAUUCAAUGGUGGUACAUGUCAUGCGAUGUUUGCAACAAAAUUGCUAUGAAAGAAUCACAUAAUUAUUAUUGCAAGAAUUGUGAUACGUAUCCAGAAGGUUUAACACCUAGGUAAGCAUAUUCUCUUGAUUUGACCAUCAUUAUGUACUAUCACAUUUGCGUUACACUAACGAAAUGUGAUUCUAGGUAUCGUAUUCAGCUUCAAAUUAGUGAUCACAGUGCUACUACAAGUUGCACUUUAUUUGAUGAAGAGGCUGAAAGAAUGCUCAAUACAUCAGUCUCAUUCCUGUUGGACCCUUAGAUGGAAAAUCUGAAGAAAUCCCAAAGAUUAUACAAGAAUUAUGUGGACAAAGACUUAUCUUUCGAUUCAAACUCAACAAUAAGAACCUCACUCUAGGCAUGCAGAACUAUGCAGUAAAGAAAAUAUUUGUGCCUGAUGAGAAGCUUGAGAAGCGAUACUUAGAGGAUAAAGCUGAAGAGGUAAUGGUCUAUUAAACUAUCAAAUCUAUUUAAACACCAAUUAUUAUACUCUUUUAUAUGGAACUAUUGAAGCAAGUAUCUACAAUUCUUGAUCCAUUGUGCUCAAUAGGAUUUGAUGGAUGAUGAAGUGGACAACAUGUUAAAACAAGAAACAAAGAAACCGAAUGAGCCAGUUAAAAUGGUGAUUGUAUACUUCACUGUACAAGCUUUUCUUUACAUAAAUUCAUCUCUUAAUUCAUCCAUUUAUGUGAUUUUUGCAGGUACAAAUCAGCAAGUGUGAACUUAGCAAAAACAUAUGUGGGUUGGUCCCUGUGAAAGAGGAGCCAGAAGAUAAAAGCAAUGGGAGUACAAUACAUCAGAAGGAGCAUCAACAUCAAAAAUCAUCAACGAGUGUCGAUUGUGGGAAAAGGAGGCGAAGAUCUGUUGUAUUAUCAGACUCGGAAGAUGAAGAAGUGGAAAAUAGUAUAUCUGAAAAAUUAGACAAGGCAGUGCCCAACAGCACCAGAAGUGUUCAUGCAAAAAACAAAAAGACAAAAGUUGAACAUGAAGGCUCCACAAGGAUGACACGAAGUUUGACCAAAAAGACUAAUAGCAUCAAGAUGAUGUAAUCAUCAACUCAAAGAUCAAGUACGCUAAACAAGACCCAAGAGAGGAAGGGCCUUUUCCAGAAAUUUUUUGGGACAAUACUUUAUCCAAUAUUUAUCAUUUUAAUGUAUCCGAGAAUUGGAAUAUAUAGUGUGUUUUUAUAUAUGAUCAAUAUGUAUGAACAAUAUGACAUUUUGUUUUCAAACAAUUCAAGUAUUGUAUACUAUUCAGAAGAGAGAAUGGCCAGUACAUUCAUUUGAUCUUAAUCAAUUUAGCAUUGCAUUUGUGUGGUUGGUCAAUGCUCUGAUGUGCCUGCAACAUUUGCUAAAACUACAAUGUACUAGCAUGGCCUAGAAUAUAUGAGAACAAAAAUGCUCAACAGUAUUUGAAAAGAUUGAGUUGGAAAUCCAUCUGGAAUACUAUGAAAAAAUUUAAUCAAAAUCAUCGACUGCGAAUUGUUCCAUAUAAAGCCACAAUGAAAUUUAAAACGAUGGAAAGAUGGAUUGAGCUUAUCCGGGGCGUAUAUUAUUACAUCACGAACAAGCAUAUGAUGGGGACUCACAGACUUAGGCUUAUUUUUUUUCUCACUAACCCUCAAAAAAUCCGACCAAAAUUAUUUUGCAGACAAAAUGUAUUUGGGCCAGACGCAUACCUAGCUGAACUAGGUACUGACUAGGCAAGAUAGUUGAAGGCCAAACCUGCACUGCUACUUGCCGCACUGAUGCACCCAGGUUCCGCUCCUUAGUGACUGCUGCGCCGCGCUGCUCCACGCAGGUCGAUAGCUACUUGGUUCACCUCGCGAAAGCUCGCCUAUGCCGGCGUCUCCGUGUGGCCGCCGGCCGCGCCACCGCAUGCCCUCCUUGGCGCAAGAGCGGAUCCAGCGAGAAUCUUAGCCCAGCAGGUCGCCGGAAGCAAGCAAUUUGCUCAUCCGAAGAAUAUCCUUUUAGAAGGAACUAUGUGGAAGAGGAAUAGUCCAUUGAUAUGAAG